UACGUAGGGGGGCUAGCGUUGUCCGGAAUCAUUGGGCGUAAAGAGCGUGUAGGCGGCCCGGUAAGUCCGCUGUGAAAGUCGGGGGCUCAACCCUCGAAUGCCGGUGGAUACUGUCGGGCUAGAGUGCGGAAGAGGCGAGUGGAAUUCCUGGUGUAGCGGUGGAAUGCGCAGAUAUCAGGAGGAACACCGAUAGCGAAGGCAGCUCGCUGGGACGGUACUGACGCUGAGGUGCGAAAGCGUGGGGAGCGAACAGG
rnacentral:rRNA from 1 species